rnacentral:tRNA from 1 species
GUGUCCAUAGCUCAGCUGGAUAGAGCAACGGCCUUCUAAGCCGUGGGUCGGGGGUUCGAAUCCCUUUGGGCACGC